rnacentral:rRNA from 1 species
AAUGAACGUUGGCGGCGUGGAUUAGGCAUGCAAGUCGAGCGCGAUAUGUAGCAAUACAUGGAGAGCGGCGAAAGGGAGAGUAAUACGUAGGUAUCUACCCUCGGGUCUGGGAUAGCAGCGGGAAACUGCUGGUAAUACCAGAUAACGUCUCCGGACCAAAGGUGUGAUUCCACCUGAGGAGGAGCCUACGGCCUAUUAGCUAGUUGGUAGGGUAACGGCCUACCAAGGCAAAGAUGGGUAUGGGGUGUGAGAGCAUGCCCCCACUCACUGGGACUGAGACACUGCCCAGACACCUACGGGUGGCUGCAGUCGAGAAUCUUCGGCAAUGGGCGAAAGCCUGACCGAGCGACGCCGCGUGCGGGAUGAAGGCCUUCGGGUUGUAGACCGCUGUCGUAGUGGGGAGCAAAUGCAUCAGGGUUCUCCCUGGUGUUUGAGCGAUCCGCAGAGGAAGCACAGGCUAAUUCCGUGCCAGCCGCCGCAGUAAGAC